GCCCCUUCAACCAGAUCACUUCCGCUGAAAGUUUGCAUCUCCCAGUAUCAGUGUUGGGGAAGCCAAAUGAAAUCUAUCAAUCCCAGUUCAGAAUGUAAAGAAACUGAAGAUCCUCUUUCCCCAUAUGGAUUAUUAUAUCAUCAUAGCAUUUGGAGAAGCCAAGAUCAACAAAAAAGCAGUUAGCAGUGAGAGAAGCUGCAGCCUGUUGAGACUCCACAAGACUGAAGAUAUGAAAAGAGGAAAUAUGCAUGAAUGCCCGCACGGAGAACCACCCCCACCUGCUGCUCCCGCUCUAAUGAUCACGCCCAUUAUCAACUGGGGGAUGGCUCUGUGCCUUGUCCUUGCAUUACAUGGACCAAGAACACUUCACAGGACUCAGAGAGGAACCCGAAAGGAAGAAGCUAUACGACUGGGGACACAUGUCUUAGAAGCACACUCAUUAGAUAAAGUGUCGCAUACUCUUUGAUAAGGUAAGGCUCCCUGGACGAGAUGUUUUACAGGUACCAUGAGCUCAGUGAAUUGCUUUUGGAAAGACACUCAGCGGAGUGGGCACCACGAGGUUAGGAGAAGCAGCUUCUGCUCGUCAUAACUUUGGCAAAUGUUUACACAUCAGUAAUGAAAAAUAUUCUCUUGGCGAUUUCAGGCUUGUUACUAUGGAUGUUGUUUGCUAACAUUGACUAUUUUUCCUAACUGCUUAUAGAAACUCCAGGCUGUCACCCAUCUGUUCUCUCAUCAAAGUAGUUUUGGGCCAGCAACUAUUUCAGACAUUUCUACAGUUUCAGAUGUCUCACUCUGCCUAUGACUGUAUGUUGUACUUGAGGACUGGACGCACAGGGUAAAGUGCAAAUAGCAAGCAUUCAGGUCCAACUCUCCUCCUUCUGGUUAACAAUAUGAAAGAAAGAGGUAGUAUCGGAAUUAUUUUAGUUCAAUGUAGCCAU
rnacentral:lncRNA from 10 species